UGUUCUCAUGUGGUCCAUCCACUGUUCUCCUGGAGGAGAAAGAGGACAGCCCAGGUGUGUGACCACAGGGACAUCACAUGACCAAGAUGUGCCCAUCAUCAUAGUCCAUGUACAGCCCUGCAUGGUGAAUGUUUUGCCCAGACUACAGAGUGAGUCUCCUGUGACCUCCGGAACAGUGAGACGAGGGUCUCAGUCUUGCUCAGGCUGGUCUCAAAC